GUCGCCCUUUGAAAAUCGGCGUUUUGCUUGGAACGGUAACACGACUUACCGGCUGUGAUUUAGCGGCUAGUUGGUUUCGUUUGGCAAGUACACGCGGCGUUCGUUAGUUUGCGCAUCUACGUUUCUCUCACUCCCUAUCGGUCUGUGUUUCUCAUUGUGCUGAACCUGUGUUGAUCAGUUCACAUAGCAUAACUGAGGCUUGUCGAUGCUAACAUAGAAUUUCAUAGAACGAACGCUUUCGAGAGAUCGGGUCUUAUCCUCGAUCAAUAAAAAGUCGAUAUAUGUUAUGUAUGCCGCUGAAAUGUAUUCUUCACUGUAAGGAUCAACGAUUAUAUAUACAUAUUUUAUUAUAUUAAUAACAGGAAAAAUGGAAAAGAGUAACAUUUUUUAAAAAUUAAUUAAUAGUAGAGAUUAAGUCUGUUCGAAUUUUAUAUACUGAAUUGAAUACACUGAAUUUAGUUUGUUGUGGAAUAGAUAUUCGUUCGAACAAAGAAAAACCACCCGGAGAUGUAACAAACCGUCUAAUUCGUGUAGCCAUAUAUGACAGCUUUUGCACCGUGCAAACCGGCUGUUUAGUGUGCCGCGCAUGUUUCUCGGAUAAAAACGGCGAUGAAAACCGCAUCCUGGAAGAACGUCCUUUGGAAUUGCUGUGGAACAAAAGCACGCUUUAUACAUCCUCAUAAAAACGCAGACACGUAGACCGUUUAAACCGUACGAACGCACAAUUGCUUAUCCACGGAGGUUCACAAGAUACUCUUGGGUCGAUCGUCGAUAAAACCUCAAUUUCUCAUAGGAAGACUAAUUUCAGUUCGCAUGAAAAACUACCCCGACAGUCCGGUCCCACGAAAAUACAUGAGAAGUUCAAAUAAAAAAGAGAGCGAGCGAGUGAGAGGGAGAGGGAGAGAGAGAGAGAGAGAGAGAGAGAGGUAGAGAGAGAGAGAAAAACGACCACACGCGAACCGGUGGUGGUAGCAGAUGCCCGAGAAGACGGAUUCCCGUUAAAAACGGCCGAUAUCGUCAAAAAUAAUGGCGUGGAAGGAACGCAUUUUGGCACGACGGACACACCAGAUACUAUGGAAUGGAUUCGAGCCAGAGAGAAUGAUAACACUUAAACAAAUUUUGCCUGCCUUAUCUCGUCGUAUAUUAUUCGAGGUCCAAAACAUGGGGGUUAUACUGGACCCUUUUUGUCUUAAGUAUGGUAGCACCAUAUUAACUGGUUUAUGACUAUUACACUCUUAGUAAUUAAUUAUUGUAGCCAAAUGUAUCAAGUAAUUGUACGUCCAACCACCCAAUGAAGAAGAAAGAAACUAUGAAUUUCCUAAAAAUAUACUUCUCUUAAUAACUGACCACACAAAAGGUGGUCCCAUGACCAGUUAGGAAAUCAGUGUUGUAUGUUCUUUGUGACACCUAAGCAGGAACGACCAUAGACAGCAACUAGCCGGUAAUGUCGUUACUCGCAAUUAUCGUGAUAACUGUGCUCUCUUCCAAUAGCCGGCGCUUUUUGCACAGUGAUUGCGAGUCGUGCCAGACCCAAACGCACACGAUGACGCUCGCCUUCUAUAUAUAUAAUGCACGUGCUACACGCUGCCACCGACCAGCUGGUCAGAAUCGGGACGAGCAGGCCAAGUAGUCGAGUCACGCGAGGAAUUCAGCUUUGCAACGCAACGAGCGCGCGCGGGGCGCACACAUACAUAUACACACUCAAUGCACCGCGGGGAUUAGCAGCGUUCACUUUCACGUGCAAUUAUCUGCCUUUACGAGCUUGUCUCCCGGGAAGCAUUAUCGCACGAGGGAGCGAGAGUCCUCUUGUUCCUCGUCCGUAGGGCGGACAAAGACGAGCAGGCAGACGGUUCUCAGUCGAGAUCCGGCUGGUGGGCGAGAAAUUUUCCAAUUCUACUUUGUUAGUCGUAACAGGUUGUUCUCUCGUGAGAUCGAAGCGUUUACACGCGAUCGCUGCUUUAUACCCGUGCAACACGAGCGCCUUGGGAAUUUUUGUUUGAAAGAAUGCAAGCGCGAGAUAUAUGCCGAUAUAUACAUAUAUACAUACAUAAAGUAAGUGCUUUUCGAGAAUGCGCCAUUAAUGAUAAACCGAGUGUUUGUAAAGAAAUUCUUCAGGAUUGUUCUUUCUAUACAUUUGUUCUCACUAUA